rnacentral:rRNA from 1 species
UACGGGGGGGGCAAGCGGUUGCUCGGAAUGACUGGGCGUAAAGGGCGCGUAGGCGGCGCACACAGUCAGAUGUGAAAUUCCUGGGCUUAACCUGGGGGCUGCGCUUGAUACGUGUGGACUGGAGUGCGGAAGAGGGUCGUGGAAUUCCUGGUGUAGCGGUGAAAUGCGCAGAUAUCAGGAAGAACACCCGUGGCGAAGGCGGUUCUCUGGGACGGUACUGACGCUGAGACGCGAAAGCGUGGGGAGCGAACAGG